rnacentral:pre_miRNA from 1 species
AGCUUUUCGAAUUCAUGCUGAGAUUUCGUGAGACACCAAGCCAUUAAGGCUGACCAAACUUUCAUGAUAAGUGAAGUU